GAUCGAUUCACUUUCUCUAGUCUAUUGUUAGAUGCUUAUUUUUCCUCCAAAACAAUGGAGAGAGUACAAAAAGCAACAGUGGAAGUUAUCUUGAGGCUUUUAUCCUUGUAAUUAAUGCAGGCAAACAAUAGGUCUUUAUACAUAGGUACAGCAGGAAACCCUCUCAUUCAAUUGUGGAGUAGCUUGUGCAGUUUUAGGUAUAGCUAAUGCUUCAGGGCCAACAUGUUCUUUAAAAAUUCAAUUUUCCCCCUAUCUUAAUGAUAUUUUCUUAUAUACCAGUGAUAAUGUUAACUGCUGUCUAGCUGUAGUGGGCCCCUGCAGUGGAAAAAGUCCGCAGACUCAAAUGAUGUACAAUGAGAUCCAUUGUCUACAAUGACUUUCUCAUUUGUGUCUUUGCUAGUAGUUCUGUAGAAUUAAGAGUAGAGGAUGGUUGUUAAUCAUCUGGUCACAAUUUGAACUGAUUGAGCAG
rnacentral:lncRNA from 1 species